AAGUCGUAACAAGGUUUCCGUAGGUGAACCUGCGGAAGGAUCAUUAAUGAAAUUUGAGGGGAUUACAAGUCCCCUCACUCUUCUCUCAAAACACCUUGUGAAUUUACCAUGUUGCUUUGGCAGGUCUCUUGAAAAAAGUUAGACUAAUCAGUUUUCAAAGCUGAGAGGUGCCUGCCAAGGACAUCUUCAUUACCCUUUUUUUAUGUCUGAAAUUUACUUUAACAAGUGAAAACAAAACUUUCAACAAUGGAUCUCUUGGCUCUG
rnacentral:misc_RNA from 1 species